rnacentral:rRNA from 1 species
GAUGAACGCUGGCGGCGUGCCUAAUACAUGCAAGUCGAGCGAACGGACGAGGAGCUUGCUGCUCUGAUGUUAGGGGCGGACGGGUGAGUAACACGUGGAUAACCUACCUAUAAGACUGAGAUAACUUCGGGAAACCGGAGCUAAUACCGGAUGAGAUUUUGAAGCGCAUGGUGCAAAAGUGAGAGACGGUCUUGCUGUAACUUAUAGAUGCAUCCGCGCUGCAUUAGCUGGUUGGUAAGGUAAAGGCUUACGACGGCAAGGAUGCGUUGCCGACCGGAGAGGCUGAUCGCCCACCCGGGAACUGAGACAGGGUCAUUAGUCCUACGGGAGGCAGCAGUAGGGAAUCGGCCGCAGUGGGGGAAAGCCUGACGGAGCAAGGGGGCGUGAGUGAUGAAGGUCUUCGGAUCGUAAAACUCUGUUACUAGGGAAGAGCAUAUGUGUAAGGAACUGUGCACAUAUUGACGGUAACUAAUCAGAAAGCCACGGCUAACUACGUG